AGAAAGCUAGAACUGGACAGUAUUCGGUUACAAGAGAGACUUGAGCUUGCACGGAACACAACAAGGAAAAGAAAUAAACAUUGAGGUCAAGUCACUGAACCUCUUACUAAGAGAAGAAAAGUAUCCGGUAAUCUUGAGAACAAUGCUGAACUUGAGGACGAAGUCUCUGAGGAUGAACAAGCGUAUUCUGAUGGAACAGAGAACGAACUGAAUAUGUUAACCGAGUCAGAGGACAGUGGAUUUAUAUCUGAAAAAGUAAAUGUUGCAAAAGAAGACCCAACGAAUUAUAGGUUGGUAAAGCUCUGACUACAAAUGCAGAUCCAGAUCAUGCAAUUAUUGGCAAAUCAAAAGACAGAGACAAUAUUUCUCAUGAUAUCGAGCCUGAAGAUAGCACUGCAUUUCAUUAAGAACCUGAGGACGAUACAUUUCCUGAUGAACCAGAUAACACUAUUGGAUUUUCUGAUGAACCAGAUAACACUAUUGGAUUUUCUGAUGAAGCUGAUAACACUAUUGGAUUUUCUGAUGAAGCUGAAAACAAUGCACAGUUUUCUGAUGAUCCAGAGGACAGCUCACAAUACAUUAAUGCUCAUGAGCGAUAUGAAGAUGAGCAUUCAUCAGCUGAGAGUGGUCUGAUGAUUGAUGGUGAAGGUGAAGAAAGUAAGAAAAUAAGAAGCUUUGCUGGAAGAUCAUGAAUCUUGAGUCUAAUGAGGAAAUGCUCCUCAAGAAGCAAAAAGAUCUUGAAGUGAAUUUUUAUAAACCAAGGAAACAGUGAAAGUUGCAGACGAUAAGCUAAUCCGUUAUCAAUGGCAAAUAAAAGCUCUCAAGGCCAUUGGAAGAGGAUUCAGGGACAAGUAUCAGAAGGCUGAGACUCAAGUUUCACCCCUCAACGAGAAGAAUGCAGAUUUGGAGUUGGCUAAUCAAAAUAAUUUGGAGGUUUUGGAAUCCGCAAAGAAUAACGAAGAACGAAAGAUGGAAUCAAAGGAUGAAGAAAUUGGCCAUCUUCAAUCAAUUGGUUUUAAGAUGAGAAUGACCGGAUUAAAGACGAAAAUAAGGGGCUUUUGGAGAAGCAAAAAGAUCUGGAAGUGAAUGUUCGUAAACUAGAAGAGCAGUGUAAAGUUGCAGUUGAUAAACAUAAAACGCAAACAUGUAGUCUCAAGACCAUUGGAAGACAAUUUAGGGACAGGUUCGAGAUUGCUCAGACUAAAGUUUCUUCUCUCUAAGCUGAAACUGAGAGACUAAGCGAAAAGAAUGCAGAUUUGGAGUUGACUAAUCUAAAAAGUUUAGAAGCUUUAGAAUCCUCAAAGAAUAAAGAAGAAAGAAAGAUGAAAGCAAAGAAUGAAUCAAUUGGACAACUUCAAUCCGAGAGUCUCUUUACAUUUUACUUACGGGAUGGUAAACGUAAUUUUAAGUGACCCUUUAUGACCACUGACCAAGUCCGAUUCGCGACCGUAUCUUCAAAUUUGCAUAUUUGCCUUUAGAUAGAAAUGGUUGUCAGAAUUAGCAACAUUAAACAGGGAGUUUUUUUUUUGAUUUUUGUGAUUUUUGAAAAUCUUAUGUCUCAGCCAUUUAAAGAAAAUCUUUUUAAUUUAAAAAAAGUUCCGAAUAGCAUUUUAAUGGACGUAGAUCAGGUUAUAAUUGAGUACUGUUGUGAAUCUGUCACGUCUCUCUUUUACAUGGCGGGUCAUUUGAAAUUACAAUGUAAGUCCAGUACCAAGAUUAGUAGUUUUUAGGGUUUCCAACACAAGUGGGUUUUUGUUUGCAAGACUUGUAAUUCCGUGGAAUUCCGCGCAACAGAAUUCCGAGUGCAAACCCGGUAGAAUUCCUAUAUUUUGUAGAGUGUGACUAAAAAGUUAAUCCAAGCAAUUUUUAAAAACAAAUUCUGAAAAACCAGAGUUAGUAAAAAAUAUGUUGCCUAAAGCUUCCCCAACAUUCAUGAUUUGAUUUGAUUUGGGUCGCAUUCUACUUGUCAAAACUACUAAGUUAACUAUUUGAUUAAAUAUGAUGCAUCUAAUUUUAAUACUAGCAUGAGAACUAUGUACCUUAUCUCAUCAACUUCAUACACCACUUGCACCACUCUUCUUUUCAUGCAUCUUAAAUCGUUAAUGUAUGCUAGUCUUUUCCAACUCUAUAAUAUCCAUUUUAUUUUAUCAUUUAGAACAUGUAAUUUUUUCAUAGUGUAAUGAUCCAUUAUAUUGUUAGUUAUUUAUCUUAAAGGGAGUGUUCGAGAAAAAUGAAAGGGGUAUAGGCUUA